rnacentral:lncRNA from 1 species
CCUUACUGUUGUGUCAGGCCGGACUUUUUCUUCUCUCAUCCUGUAUGUCUGUCUCUCCCCCACACCAUGGGAUUAAUAAUGGAUGGAACAUUCCCUCACAGUCCAACAAAUCAAGACAACAGAGUGCUACCUCCGGCAGAGCAACUCCCCUGAGAGGAAAUAGGAGCAUUUUCCCUUUCUGUUUCUAAUAUGUUUGUUUUGCACAGUGCCUGGAAGUCUGACUUAAGGAGCACCUGAUGCACCCUGUCAGCAUGCCUGUGGAUUGGAGAUGUAAGGCUGGAGUUCCCUAACUGUGGAUGUUUGAAGUCCAGAUCCUGACUCCAGAUGAAUGAAGAAUACUACAGAAGGUUGCCUCAGACACAGCCCUAGGCUUGGGCCUCUAGAGGAGACUCAUGAUGACAUCCUCCCUAGAAAAGCAGACUUCACUGUGAGAGAGGAGUCAAUUGUCACAGUUAACAGGAUUGAGACAUCUGUGCCCUGGAGUUUUUAUCUCUGUAAUUUUCAUAAGACAUAGGCUCCAGAUAUUGUAGAAAAAGGAAAAUUCAUGUUUUUACAUUGUUUAGAUUUUCUCCUAUAUUCCUUCCUUUAAUACCUUUCAGAGAUUCAUCCCUCCUAACUCUCAUAAGAGAAUUUUAGUAUUGCCGCCAUUUUGCCUGAUAGCAAAUCAUGUAACUAGCUGAAGCCUUUUUGAAAUUAGCUGAGAUAGCAAAAAUUCAGCUCUGGUUGAAGAUAGAAGAAUUUCUGGCUCAGCUUUAUUACCCCAAUUUAUUUUAGCUGGGACAUCUAACUUUAGACCUGGUGCUAUCUGGUUAGUUCCUACUCGAUCUACAAAUUCCAGUUAAAAUCCAGUUCAAAUAGGAUUUGCUGAUCGAAUUGUUAUUUUACCUGAUAUUGACAUCGAUUUAAUUUAAAUCUUCCCCUUCUACUAUUGGUUCUUUGAUGUGUAAAUCUUAACUUUCCCCUUUAUCUUCUGUAAAAUUCCAAUUUUGUCUUUCUUGCUG